rnacentral:sRNA from 1 species
GUAUGUCGUUGUAUAUGUGUGUGUGUGAACGGGUAGUACCACUAGUUUUG